rnacentral:rRNA from 1 species
UGGGGAAUAUUGGGCAAUGGGCGCAAGCCUGACCCAGCCAUGCCGCGUGAGUGAUGAAGGCCUUCGGGUCGUAAAGCUCUGUGGGGAGGGACGAAAGGCCCAGGGGAUAAUACCCCUUGGGAGUGACGGUACCUCCUUAGCAAGCACCGGCUAACUCCGUGCCAGCAGCCGCGGUAAUACGGAGGGUGCAAACGUUGCUCGGAAUCAUUGGGCGUAAAGCGUACGUAGGCGGUCCUUUAAGUCGGGUGUGAAAGCCCAAGGCUCAACCUUGGAAGUGCAUUCGAAACUGAAGGGCUUGAGUACGGAAGAGGGUCUCGGAAUUCCCGGUGUAGAGGUGAAAUUCGUAGAUAUCGGGAGGAACACCAGUGGCGAAGGCGGAGACCUGGGCCGAUACUGACGCUGAGGUACGAAAGCGUGGGGAGCAAACAGG